AUGGGAAGCAGGUUAAUAUUCCUGCACCGUCGUAUGAUGCGAUGGGGGGACGGAUCGCGGAAGGUUGUCCAACUGUUGGAAUAGUUGGUUUCUGGUUCAUAGAAGGCGCUUAGGCAAAUCCGGGCGCGUGAUUCAAGGGACUGGGACGAGGCACUUAGGUGCUGAAGCAAUCGGAAGUGGUUCCAAGAAAAGCCUCUAAGCUUCAGUCAUACGAGACCGUACCGCAAACCGACACAGGUGGGCGAGAUGAGUAUU
rnacentral:rRNA from 1 species